GACGAACGCUGGCGGCGUGCCUAAUACAUGCAAGUAGGACGCAGUUGCGAACGGGUGAGUAACGCGUAGGUAACUGCCUAUUAGAGGGGGAUAACUAUUGGAAACGAUAGCUAAUACCGCAUACUAGUAGAUGGACCUGCGUUGUAUUAGCUAGUAGGUAGGGUAAUGGCCUAGCUAGGCGACGAUACAUAGCCGAGCGGAGAUGGUGGUCGGCCAAACUGGGACGUGGAAAAGGCCCAGACUCCUACUGGAGGCAGCAGUAGGGGAUGGUCGGCAAUGGGGGGAACCCUGACCGAGCAACGGCGGGGGAGUGAAGAAGGUUUUCGGAUCGUAAAGCUCUGUUGUUAAGGAAGCGGUACUUAACCAGAAAGGGACGGCUAACUACGUGCCAGCAGCCGCGGUAAUUC
rnacentral:rRNA from 1 species